rnacentral:rRNA from 1 species
AACUUACAACAACGGAUCUCUUGGCUCUCGCAUCGAUGAAGAGCGCAGCGAAAUGCGAUAAGUAAUGUGAAUUGCAGAUUUUCAGUGAAUCAUCGAAUCUUUGAACGCACCUUGCGCCCCUUGGUAUUCCGAGGGGCAUGCCUGUUUGAGUGUCAUUA